CAUGCUCCAGUGCUCUGGGAGAGUUUAUAGUCCUGAGAGUUGAACACUGGAGGACUGACAGCUGUCCUUCAUGACAACAGAAGACACAGAAAUCCUCCUCAUCAAAAACAUGACUUUGAUCUGCGUCCUCAUCUGGACUCUCCUCUGCUGCUGCUUCACAGAGUCCAGAGGUCAGGUCACAGUGACUCAGCCUGCAGCAGUGACAGCUGAUCUGGGAGGAUCUGCCAGGAUCCCCUGCAGAACCAGUCAGAAUGUUUAUGGCAAUAUCCAUUUAGCCUGGUACCAACAGAAAGAUGGACUAACUCCUAAGCUGCUCUUUUAUUAUGUUGGGAAUCGAGUCUCGGGAACUCCAAGUCGUUUUAAUGAUGGUGGAUCAAACUCUGACUUCACUCUGACCAUCAGUGGAGUUCAGGCUGAAGAUGCUGCAGUUUAUUACUGUCAGAGUGUUCAUUACAUCAACAGCCAGUAUGUGUUCACACAGUGAAAAACAGUCGUACAAAAACCUCCCUCAGUCAGGCUGAACAGAAACUGCAGCUGAAUGUCACAGCAGACU